rnacentral:rRNA from 1 species
GCAGCCGCGGUAAUACGGGGGAUGCAAGCGUUAUCCGGAUUUAUUGGGUUUAAAGGGUGCGUAGGCGGUCUGGUAAGUCAGCGGUGAAAUUUAGGGGCUCAACCUCUACCGUGCCGUUGAUACUGCUGGGCUAGAAUGCGGAUGCCGUGGGAGGAAUGUGUGGUGUAGCGGUGAAAUGCAUAGAUAUCACACAGAACACCGAUUGCGAAGGCAUCUCACGAAUCCGCAAUUGACGCUGAGGCACGAAAGCGUGGGGAUCAAACAGGAUUAGAUACCCC